UACGAAUGGGGCAAGCGUUGUUCGGAAUCACUGGGCUUAAAGCGUGCGUAGGCGGCCAUGCAAGUCAGGAGUGAAAUCCAGGGGCUCAACCCCUGAACUGCUUUUGAAACUGCAUGGCUAGAAACCGGUAGAGGUCAGGAGAAUUCCUAGUGUAGAGGUGAAAUUCGCAGAUAUUAGGAGGAAUACCAGUGGCGUAGGCGCCUGACUGGGCCGGUAUUGACGCUGAGGUACGAAAGCGUGGGUAGCAAACAGG
rnacentral:rRNA from 1 species